GGGCUCGAUUCAGCAGCAUAUAUACUAAAGCUGGAGCAACACAAAGAAGAUUAACAUGGACCCUGUGCAAGGUUGACACACAAAUCCAUGAAGCAUUCCAUAUUUUA
ensembl:snRNA U6 U6 spliceosomal RNA